GCCGCCCCGCCCGGCAGGGGCUGCCGGUUCCGGCCCGAUUUGAGGCGGCGAGUGAGCAAGGGAGGACAUGAUCUACACGGCUAUAGACACGUUUUAUCUCACGGACGAGCAGCUGCGGGACUCGCCGUCGCGGAAGGAUGGGAUCGACGAGGCCGCCGAGACGACCCUCCGGGUCUACGGCUGCGACCUCAUCCAGGAGAGCGGCAUCCUCCUCAGGCUACCACAAGCAGUGAUGGCCACAGCGCAAGUACUUUUCCAUCGUUUUUACUGCAAGAAAUCAUUUGCACGAUUUAGUGCUAAGAGACUUGCUGCUAGUUGUGUUUGGCUAGCUGGGAAGUUGGAGGAGAGUCCUAGGAGAUCAAAGCAUAUUAUAUUUGUCUUCCAUAGAAUGGAAUGCAGGAGAGAAAACCUACCAAUUGAAUACUUGGAUGUAUUUUCAUCGAAAUAUUCAGAACUCAGGCAUGAUCUGAUAAGGACCGAGCGGCAUCUAUUGAAGGAGAUGGGUUUCAUUUGCCAUGUCGAACACCCUCACAAGUUCAUCUCGAACUACCUUGCAACACUUGAAGCCCCUGAGCUGACACAAGAAGCAUGGAACCUUGCUAAUGAUAGCUUGCGGACAACUCUUUGUGUACGGUUCAAGAGUGAAGUAGUAGCAUGUGGAGUCGUGUAUGCUGCAGCUAGGAGACACAAGGUUCCCCUCCCUGAAGAUCCUGCUUGGUGGACAGUUUUUGAUGCUGAUGAGGCAGGAAUCCAGGAAGUUUGCAGGGUUCUUGCUCAUCUCUACAGCCUCCCAAAGGCACAAUAUAUACCAGUGUAUAAGGACAAUGAUUCCUUCAGUGUUAGAAAGGCCUCUGAUCCGCAGGCUUCUAAGGAAAGUCCAGCAAGUGCCGUUGCUAGUGAUAGGGGUACCCCUGUACCUUCAAGUUCUAGCCAGGAGAAGAGUUCACUGAGCAAGGCAGGACCAGAGAAGGUGAAGGAAAAAAGUAAUAACAAGGAUAAGCCGUUGUCUGAUGAGCUAAAUGGAAAAGGAGACAAGGCAGCAAAUUUGAAGUCAGAGUCUAAUGUUGAUCGGCAUGAGGAAAGAGAAAGAAGCAGAUCAAGAGGCCGUGACCGUGAUAGCAGGGGUAGAGAUUCUGAUCGCGAGAGGGGGCGUGAUAGAGAAGUAGACAGGGAUAGAGCCAAGAGACACCGUUCGAGGGACAAAAGUUCAGGAUACUCUGACAAGGAGAAAUCAAGGCACCGCUCGUCACGAGACCAUGGCGGUUACCACUCAGCUGGUGACAAAGAUCGGCACUGGCGUCAUUGAUCCAGCUGAGCUUCCCUGUUGUACGAAGAAGAUAUGCGUAGAGAACCACCAAGGAGCGCCAGAAGCGUGAGAUGAAUUUGGUAUCAUCUGAUGUGUUACAUUAGCAAAUCAGGCCUUAUAUGUAGUACUCGUAGUACUUUUUGUACUUAUUUGUACAAAUCAGGCCUUCUGAACUAUCUUUUUGUACUUCUGAUUUUGCUGAAACAACUUUGCUAUACAGAGAGUAGCAGAUGGCUUGUAAGAGGGAAAAAGGACAGGAGUCUGCAAGGGUAUGAAAACGUUGGUGUUGCGUUGCUUGCGGGCGGUUCCCCAGGGCUGGUAGCAUGACGAUAUGAAGGUCCAUAAUUGUUAAUCCAGGCCCUGACACGUGUAUCUUCACAUAAUUGAUAUGCUAAACUGCUGGUGGUGCUUUUUAGGGGGAAUAAUAUGCUUCAUGAACGUUUGUUGCA